rnacentral:rRNA from 1 species
AGUGCUUGCACUUUGCUGACGACCGGCGCACGGGUGCGUAACGCGUAUGCAAUCUACCUCUUACUGAGGGAUAGCCCAUGGAAACGUGGAUUAAUACCUCAUGGUAUUUUAAAUUGGCAUCAAUUUAAGAUUAAAGGUUACGGUAAGAGAUGAGCAUGCGUCCUAUUAGCUAGAUGGUAAGGUAACGGCUUACCAUGGCAACGAUAGGUAGGGGUCCUGAGAGGGAGAUCCCCCACACUGGUACUGAGACACGGACCAGACUCCUACGGGAGGCAGCAGUGAGGAAUAUUGGACAAUGGGCGAGAGCCUGAUCCAGCCAUGCCGCGUGCAGGAAGACUGCCCUAUGGGUUGUAAACUGCUUUUGUAUAGGAAGAAACCUUUCCUCGUGAGGAAAAUUGACGGUACUAUACGAAUAAGGAUCGGCUAACUCCGUGCCAGCAGCCGCGGUAAUACGGAGGAUCCAAGCGUUAUCCGGAAUCAUUGGGUUUAAAGGGUCCGUAGGCGGGUUUAUAAGUCAGUGGUGAAAGUCUGCAGCUUAACUGUAGAACUGCCAUUGAUACUGUAGAUCUUGGAUCAUUAUGAAGUGGUUAGAAUGUGUAG